rnacentral:ncRNA from 1 species
CCACAUACACACGGGUGCUCCCUUCGUCACUGCGAGGGGGCUGAGACGCGGCGGCGCGAUGACCGCUGCGAACCGUCGAACCUGAUCCGGGUAAUGCCGGCGGAAGGAAGAAGAGUUUUCCAUGGU